GGAAAUAUCUUGAUCAAUUCGAUGUUGUGGUGCUGAAUACAGGUCAUCACUGGAAUAGAGGGAAGAUUAACGCAAAUCGAUGGGUGAUGCAUGUAAAUGGAAAGCCUGUUGUAGACAGGAAGCUUGCACAAAUAGGAAAUGCUAAAAACUUCACAGUUUAUAGUAUUGCCAGAUGGCUUGAUUCCCAAAUUGCAUCACGUCCACAGCUUAAGGGUUUCUUUCGGACCAUAUCACCCAGGCAUUC
rnacentral:misc_RNA from 1 species